rnacentral:rRNA from 1 species
GAUGAACGCUGGCGGCGUGCCUAAUACAUGCAAGUCGAGCGGACCAAAGAGAGCUUGCUCUCUGAGGUUAGCGGCGGACGGGUGAGUAACACGUGGGUAACCUGCCUGUAAGACGGGGAUAACUUCGGGAAACCGCAGCUAAUACCGGAUGAUAAAGAGAAACGCCCGUUUCUUUUUUGAAAGUCGGCCUUGUGCUGACGCUUACAGAUGGGCCCGGGGCGCAUUAGCUAGUUGGUGAGGUAACGGCUCACCAAGGCGACGAGGCGUAGCCAGACUGAGAGGGUGAUCGGCCACACUGGGACUGAGACACGGCCCAGACUCCUACGGGAGGCAGCAGUAGGGAAUCUUCGGCAAUGGACGAAAGUCUGACCGAGCAACGCCGCGUGAGCGAUGAAGGCCUUCGGGUCGUAAAGCUCUGUUGUCAGAGAAGAACAAGUACCGGAGUAACUGCCGGUACCUUGACGGUACCUGACCAGAAAGCCACGGCUAACUACGUGCCAGCCGCCCGGUAA